GUCAGGCCAGGGCAGCCUGCCACGGUGCAGCCAAGCCCAUGCUGGAGCAGAUGGAUGCAUGGAAGAAGGCCAUUACCCCCCAUGGAAGGCCCAGGAUGGAGCAGAGUCCUUCAAGAGACUUGUGGCCUGUGGAGAGCAAAAUCCACGCUGGAGCAGGUUAUUCCCAGGUAGGACUCAUGGACCUGUGGGGGAUCCACAUCAGUACAGCUCAUCCUAUGAAGGACCGCAUCCUAUGAAGGA